UGUGUAUGGGAUAUUAUAAUAUAUUAUUAUUAUUAUAUAGUCCCCUUCGCCAGCACCCGGUCUGCACAUCACAAAAACCGAAAAAAAAGAAAAGAUUCCCUCAUCUGUGCCGGGACGCAUUCCGAUCGUUCACACACACAAAAACAGCAGAGAUAGUAUGUCAGAGACUAGGUACUUGCUAUAUAAUAUAAUAUCAUAUAUACCGUCGUCGUAAACAAUAUAAUAUUAUGGGACGUGCACUCUUAUUAUUAUUACUGUACUUGAGGGGAAU